rnacentral:lncRNA from 1 species
CUUGGUCCUUCUAUAAAUAGAGGUAAGAAGGGACCCUUCAAGUACACAACGAUAACACCAAUGCCAAAACUCUGCUCCUUCUAUUGAGCUCCAUCUCUAACUUGAGUAUCGAAGGAUCCUCGUCGAAACAACCUCCGACGGGACUUUCUUUGCAGGUCGCGCAUCCCCCGCAGCCUGGUGCUCCACCAAACCUUAGCCGCUUUGGCGUCACGCGG